GUGAGGAAUAUUGCGCAAUGGAGGCAACUCUGACGCAGCCAUGCCGCGUGCAGGAAGAAGGCGCUACGCGUUGUAAACUGCUUUUAACCGGGAAGAAACCCCAGGACGUGUCCUGGGUUGACGGUACCGGAGGAAUAAGCACCGGCUAACUUCGUGCCAGCAGCCGCGGUAAUACGAAGGGUGCAAGCGUUAUCCGGAUUUAUUGGGUUUAAAGGGUGCGUAGGCGGAGCGUUAAGUCAGUGGUGAAAUCCUGCAGCUUAACUGUAGACUUGCCAUUGAUACUGGCGCUCUUGAGUGAGCUUGAAGUGGGCGGAAUGUGCCGUGUAGCGGUGAAAUGCUUAGAUAUGGCACAGAACACCAAUUGCGAAGGCAGCUCACUAAGGCGAUACUGACGCUGAGGCACGAAAGCGUGGGGAUCGAACAGGAUUAGAAACCCUAGUAGUCC
rnacentral:rRNA from 1 species